rnacentral:rRNA from 1 species
UACGGAGGGUGCAAACGUUGCUCGGAAUCAUUGGGCGUAAAGCGCACGUAGGCGGCCUGUUAAGUCGGGGGUGAAAGCCCGGGGCUCAACCUCGGAAUUGCCUUCGAUACUGGCUGUCUUGAGUGUGAGAGAGGUGUGUGGAACUCCGAGUGUAGAGGUGAAAUUCGUAGAUAUUCGCAAGAACACCAGUGGCGAAGGCGACUUACUGGACACAUAUUGACGCUGAGGUGCGAAAGCGUGGGGAGCAAACAGG